UACGUAGGGUGCAAGCGUUGUCCGGAAUUAUUGGGCGUAAAGGGCUCGUAGGCGGCCAACUAAGUCAUACGUGAAAUCCCUCGGCUUAACCGGGGAACUGCGUCUGAUACUGGAUGGCUUGAGUUCGGGAGAGGGAUGCGGAAUUCCAGGUGUAGCGGUGAAAUGCGUAGAUAUCUGGAGGAACACCGGUGGCGAAGGCGGCAUCCUGGACCGAUACUGACGCUGAUGAGCGAAAGCCAGGGGAGCAAACGGG
rnacentral:rRNA from 1 species